ensembl:lncRNA
AGAUUGUGGAGUACAAAGAUGUCCAAGCCUGCUUCUCGUAGCUCUCAGCUGCUGCUGUCGGAUCAGAAGUGUGCUAAAUGUCUGUUGGAGACGUAUGUCAAGCGGAGCCUCAGCCUGAAUGAAGGAUGCAGGAAACAUCAGCUAAAUAAACACAAAUGGCUUAAACCAGACAGGCAGUCCAGACGGGCGUCCAGUGACACCUCCACCCAGCGUUUGAGAGUAGAGAGGCUCCUGAAGACCAGCGAGUGCCCUGAAUGCACAACACCAGAACUUGUCACUAGGAGAAAGAGCACCAAAGCACCAAACAGAACCAAAUCAUUCUUCAGAGGCUUUCUCCACCUCUUCUCUAAGAAGAAGACCGAGCCCAAAGUGAAAGAUGAGCGAGUUACAGAAACAGACUCUGGACAACAUAUGAUAGAACGGGGGCUUCGCUCUUCUCAGAAAGGCUCAUCUGGCCUCAGUGUGAGGAAAAAACACUCUCUGAGAAGGAUCUUCUUUAGCAAUCAAAAUGAUGAGAAAAGAGAGUCCCUGCAAAAGGACUCCUCUCGUGUUCGUGGAGGCGUGGAGGGGCUUUCAGACGUGAGCGUGGACUCUGAUAAUACAUACUUUGAGAAGGUGUCAGAAGAACUGGAGUUGAUUGUGAAGGAGAUUCAGUUCAGUCCAAAAGAAGAUGCUCCGCUUCUCUCUUCUGCUUCUGCAAGAGACUGCAGCUCUUCAGGUGAUGACACUACAGAGAGGAUUACCAGCCUGCUGAAGCAACAUGGGGAUAUUAUUGAUCAGAAAAUAAGCAGGAACAAGAGUGUCCAAGACUUCCUCCAGAAACUGUCUUACAGCUCCUUCCAGCAGCUGGCUGAUCGCUACAUAGCGCAGAUCCCCAGUCCUCUUCCCCAGACCACAGACGCCUCCCCUGAGCUGGUCAGACUCGCCUUCACCCUGGACUUUACCGCCAAAGUGGCUGGAUUGUGCAGCCAGACAGUCGGUCGGAUCAUGGGGUUUGGUAACCAGUACCUUCAGGAUUCCUUCACACAAAUGUGUGCAGCCCACAGACAGGUGCCAGAAGAUUUGGAAGAACAGAGUACAAGUGAUACAGACUGACUGUGAAGUCAAAAACGACAAAAAAAAAAAAAGAUAAAAAGUGCAAUAGAGUUAACUCAGGGGGGGGGGAAACUGAUGUAUUUGUAGCUGCUUUUGUGAAUAAGCCAAAUUUAGUAGUUUGUUUAUACUAUAAGUUUACAGUGACUGACUGUGAAAAUUACAACAGUUGAACCUGAUACUAAAACUGUGAAUAAUAUUUGUUUUUUUUACACCAAAUUAGCAUAUUCUACUGAUUUCUGAAUGAUAAUGUGACAUUGAAGACUGAGUAAUGACUGCUUAUUUUAAAUUAUAAUUGAGCUAUUUUAAAAUGUAUUAAAAUAGAAAAAAGUUCUGUUAAAUUGUAAUAACAUUUCAAAAUAUUGCUGUUUUUACUGUAUUGUUAAUUAAAUAAAUGCAGCCUUGGUAAAUAUAAGAGACUUCUUAUAAAAACAUUUUUUAAAAAUCAUACCGGCCCCAAACUUCUGAUCCGUAGUGUACAUUGGAGAUAUUUUGGAGAUAAAUGUGUGACAUUGAGGCUAAACCAUGGAAAACUGAACGUUUAUUGGGGCUGUGUGGAACCUCAUUUCAGAAAUGAUAUUUACGCUAAACAACAUUACACAUGGGUAUAAAAUGUAAGAUAUGGAUCACAACAAUCAUGUGUUAUUUGGCUAGAUCAGGUUGAGCAUCUCCUUGCAUAUAUGGCAUUUCUAAAAGGUAAUUUGUCAUGUUUUUUUAACUGAGGAGAUGGCAUCAGUAUGCUGCAGAUGCAUCAUACGACUGCAUGAUUGAGGCCCAUGUUUCAAUAUACUCUGUUGUGCCAUUGUGCUACAAUCAUUUAGUAAAACCACAUUUGGUUUCUUUUGCAGAGUUUAUGUCUUUAUAAAUGGUUGCCAUGAAAUAAUGGCAGCAUUUGUUAGUGGAUGUGAAUGGCAGCAGUGGCGUCUGGAAUGGUAUUAGCCACCCUUGACAUUUCAGUGCAUCCUGUAUAAAGUUGCACAUUCUGCUUUGAGCACCACUGCUAAUCGAUCUCAACUGAUUCCUGGAGCUUGAAGUCAGAGCUUGAUGAAAGUCCUGUGAUCCAACCACCUAAUUAACCUAACAGCUGUGGCCAUACAACACAGGUAUCCUAUAUAUUUUGAACUGAUUAAAAAUCUGCUUUUAAAUUAGACCAAAAUAAAUAAAUGCUAAGGCAUACAUCUAUAUAUAUAUAUAUAUAUAUAUAUAUAUACACACACACACAUAUUGGUCAGAAAUGUUCUUUGGCACAAAUCAAUAAGAUUGUAAUUUUAAUGUAAAGUUUUCAUUCCUUUUGGUGGCCAUUCAGCUGUAUAUUUCCACAUAUAAAAGCCUGUUUUAAAUGUGUGAGAAAAAUAUUAAGUGUACUAUUGAGCAAACAACACCAACAAGUGGCUAUUUUAUUUUCAUAAUACUAAAGCAAAAUGUUAAAACGUUGACAGCAUAACUGAGAUUGAUAUUUAUAAAUGUAUUUUUUCCACAAAACUAUAUGAAGAUCUGUAUGUUUUUCUUACUGUUACUACUGUUAACCUUAAACUUUGAGUAACCUUAAACAUCUCACAUUGCUUACAUGUUUUUAAUUUCUUUUCACAUCGGCCACGUGCCGCUGUAAUGUGUGCUGCACCUCUGUCUUGCGUCUUCUCCACUUGCUCUCUGUCUCUAGUGAAAACAGGAGCGUGUAGAGCUUUGGGAGGGUCUGUGCCAUGGAGGGACUCGGUGGGAGAACAGCAAAGACGCGCCCAUUCAGAUUCGAGGAGGUCAUCGUGUGUCUCUCAGACAGCUCUCUGCGUCUGUGCUGCUCAGGGUGAACUUGCACAAGUAUAAAACUGAUCAGACUCAGCAUCCUUUGCAAAAGACAGAAGACGGUUAUGAUUUUUUUUCCACAAUGGUAGCAUUAACAAUUAACAGCAGAAAACCUUUUUUAUUUUUAUUGUGUGCUUACAUAUCUCCAAAGGCUUUUCUUGUAGAGGACAGUACAAUUUUGAGUGUAAAAAUCAUGAAGAUCUUAAUCCCAUGCCAGAGCCAGUAUGCCACAGUCAUAGCAUUAGUGAUCCGUUUCUGAUAUCUGCAAAACCACAAAUCACAAGUGCUCAUGAGCAGCAUAAGAAUGUUGCCUUUUAAAAUAAAACCUUGUAGGUCAGGGGUGUCCAAAGUCCAGCACGUGGGCCAAUUGACCCUUCACAAAGAACCGCCCCCCUUUGUUACUGCUAUGUAUUAGGUUUAUAGAGAAUUUUAUUUAAAAUAUUUAUGUAGCCAUGUAUUAAGGGAAUAUAAUGAACAGACCAAAUUACAGACAUUUUUGUCAUGAGCUAGCUGUUUUGUGCAUUUGUAUUUAUACUAAAUAAAUGUGUUUAUAGACUAAAUACCAUGAAGCCAUUCUAUACCACAGAAACCAAAUGUUUUUUUUUUUUAUUAUUAUUAUUAUUUAUUAUUAUUAUUACCAUGCUACAAAGGUGCCAAGUGUGGUUUUACCUUUGGUCAUCAUGAUCUAAAUGUAUGAUACUAUGGAAGGCCAGUGUUUAAUUUUUGUAGGGAUUCUAGUACUCAGUAAGAAUAUUAAAUUUUAACCUUUAAAAACAAUGUUGUUAACAUUUUUACAGAUGUUGCGGCCACCCCUGUUUUAGGCUCUGUGUAUUAUUAAUUUUUCGCUUUUCAUUUUCACUUUUAUGCAUUUAAAGUAAACUAGUGAUGUACCAAAAUGGAUUUUAUACUGAAACCAAUGUUUAUUAAAUAAUCGUUUAAUUAAUUAGUUUAAAGUUGUAUAAACGUAUAAAUUGCACAUAAGGCUGCUUUUAUAUUUAGGAUAUAAUUAUUUUACUACUCCAAUUAAUGGUAACUAGGGAGGUGCUGGUGUAAAAUUUUCCUGUUGCGAUUAAUUGCUAAUGCUUUUAUCACAGUAUACGGUAUUAUCACAGUAUUGAAAUUUAGUUGCAUAAAAAAGUAGUCAUAAUACAGUGUAAUAGGUUUAAUAACUUUUUUUUUCCUAUAACAGAAAUAACUGAACAUUUAAAUACAAUAAAGAAAUACACAAAAAUUUAUAAAGUAAAAAAUUUUACACGGAUGAAAGUGCAAAAAAAUUAUAAAGACCAAUAGCCUAUCGCUUUACAAUAAGACCUCAUUAGUUAACCUUAGUUAAUGCAUUAACAUCCACAAUGAGCAAUAGCUACAUUUGCUACAGAAGAUAUUAAUCUUUGUUAAAAAAUACAAGUCUUAGUUCAUGUUAACGCAGUUGCAACUUUUGAUUUUAACAACGUGUUAUUAAAUAUUGGAAUACCUAAGAUUCCCUUUCAAGGGAACUUUGAACUGCGUCCUCUAGGGGCCGCUAUGGGGAGCUAGAGGAUGCAGUGUC